GGCCGCGGGAAUUCGAUUAGGAUGAACGCUGGCGGCGUGCCUAACACAUGCAAGUCGAGCGAUUCUCUUCGGAGAAGAGCGGCGGACGGGUGAGUAACGCGUGGGUAACCUGCCCUGCACACACGGAUAACAUACCGAAAGGUAUGCUAAUACGGGAUAAUGUACUUUUGUCGCAUGGCAAAAGUAUCAAAGCUCUGGCGGUACAGGAUGGACCCGCGUCUGAUUAGCUAGUUGGAGAGGUAAUGGCUCACCAAGGCAACGAUCAGUAGCCGACCUGAGAGGGUGAUCGGCCACAUUGGAACUGAGACACGGUCCAAACUCCUACGGGAGGCAGCAGUGGGGAAUAUUGCACAAUGGGCGAAAGCCUGAUGCAGCAACGCCGCGUGAGCGAUGAAGGCCUUCGGGUCGUAAAGCUCUGUCCUCAAGGAAGAUAAUGACGGUACUUGAGGAGGAAGCCCCGGCUAACUACGUGCCAGCAGCCGCGGUAAUACGUAGGGGGCUAGCGUUAUCCGGAAUUACUGGGCGUAAAGGGUGCGUAGGUGGUUUCUUAAGUCAGAGGUGAAAGGCUACGGCUCAACCGUAGUAAGCCUUUGAAACUGAGAAACUUGAGUGCAGGAGAGGAGAGUAGAAUUCCUAGUGUAGCGGUGAAAUGCGUAGAUAUUAGGAGGAAUACCAGUUGCGAAGGCGGCUCUCUGGACUGUAACUGACACUGAGGCACGAAAGCGUGGGGAGCAAACAGGAUUAGAUACCCUGGUAGUCCACGCCGUAAACGAUGAGUACUAGGUGUCGGGGGUUACCCCCCUCGGUGCCGCAGCUAACGCAUUAAGUACUCCGCCUGGGAAGUACGCUCGCAAGAGUGAAACUCAAAGGAAUUGACGG
rnacentral:rRNA from 1 species